AUUGAACGCUGGCGGCAUGCCUUACACAUGCAAGUCGAACGGUAACAGGUCUUCGGACGCUGACGAGUGGCGAACGGGUGAGUAAUACAUCGGAACGUGCCUAGUAGUGGGGGAUAACUACUCGAAAGAGUGGCUAAUACCGCAUGAGGUCUACGGAUGAAAGCAGGGGAUCGCAAGACCUUGUGCUACUAGAGCGGCCGAUGGCAGAUUAGGUAGUUGGUGGGAUAAAAGCUUACCAAGCCGACGAUCUGUAGCUGGUCUGAGAGGACGAUCAGCCACACUGGGACUGAGACACGGCCCAGACGCCUACGGGAGGCAGCAGUGGGGAAUUUUGGACAAUGGGCGCAAGCCUGGUCCAGCAAUGCCGCGUGCAGGAUGAAGGCCUUCGGGUUGUAAACUGCUUUUGUACGGAACGAAAAGCCCUGGGUUAAUACCCUGGGGUCAUGACGGUACCGUAAGAAUAAGCACCGGCUAACUACGUGCCAGCCGCCGCGGUAAGAC
rnacentral:rRNA from 1 species